rnacentral:rRNA from 1 species
GAUGAACGCUGGCGGCGUGCCUAAUACAUGCAAGUCGAACGAAAGGUCGUGAAGCUUGCGUUCUUGCUGUUAGCGGUGGACGGGUGAGUAACAAGUGGAUAACCUACCUAUAAGCCAGGGGUCACAUCGGGGAACCGGAGCUAAUACCGGAGAAUCUUAUGCACCAUAUGGUUCAAAAGUGAAAGACGGUCUUGCUGACACUUAUUGAUGGACCCGCGCUGCAUUAGCUAGUUGGUAAGGUAACGGCUUACCAAGGCAACGAUGCGUAGCCGACCUGAGAGGGUGAUCGGCCACACUGGAACUGAGACACGGCCCAAACUCCUACGGGAGGCAGCAGUAGGGAAUCUUCCGCAAUGGGCGAAAGCCUGACGGAGCAACGCCGCGUGAGUGAUGAAGGUCUUCGGAUCGUAAAACUCUGUUAUUAGGGAAGAACAUAUGUGUGAGUAACUGUGCACAUCUUGACGGUACCUAAUCAGAAAGCCACGGCUAACUACGUG